UGCGCUCAUUCUGCGUCCUUCACCGUGUUCCACGGCGCUUAAUUAACCUUCAUAAAUUGGCAUAUUACGGCACUAAAUAGUAUGUCAUUGCCUAUGGUUCCAUACUGUUCUGACAUGCUAUUUAGUACAGUAGUAUGGAUAUUUGGGUAUAGCCCAGGUGUUUAAGGGCGCUAAUGUAGUAGCCAUUAGCUCAAACAAUUAGCCAGAGGAAAAUGACACCUCGUGGGUUUUCUUUUUUUUCCCGUCCCCUCCGUGUUUACCUUUCACAUCCAACGGCAAACAAGCCAUGUGAUGGCCCGUGUGCCCAAAGCGGAGCAUUAUUCCUAAUUAAAAGCCAGGGAUGUGUGCCAUUAGCAAGAUUCAUGCUCGGCUACAGGAGAGUUCAUUCCGGCUGUUGACUAUCCAUUGAUUAUUCAUACGGGUUCUGAUUCGGGCCCAUUAAUGCAAAAUCAAGUGGGAAGUAAAUUUUGUAAGAGCAAAAGCCGCACACUGAUGACGGCCCCACUGAGCACGGCAAAGAGUGUAAAUGGAGCAGUUGCAGGUUUCCAGUUGGUUGGAGCUGGUCUGCAUGAGCACUGUCCUCUGUUCUCUUGUAUGGAGAGGUUUUAUACUUGGCUGUGAAGAGUUUGACACAGGCGCCUCCAAGUGGUAUAUACAGUACAUUACAGCAUGCUGCAGCAGAGACAAGUUCACUUGGGCAUUUACAACUCCAUACCCUAGUAGAAAGACAUUUGUGUUGUAUAUAUGUUUUACAGACAUUCAUUAUAGCAUUUAGCAAAAUAGUGCAUGUUAAUGUAUUACUAAUUAAACAACCCACAAUGAAACUAAUUAAACAUUGUGAUCAAUGGGA